GGUUUCUCCUAAGCCAGCCGGCUUAGAAUUAUCUUCGCGGCAGUGUGGGUUUUCUCAGUGAGGCUUACGACGUUCAACCCAUAAGCCCAGCCACUCACGAUCACGUGUGUCGCACCAUUGCCGGUCUCAGACGCCUCGCUCAGCCUUUACCCACAAACCCAACUACAGUCGGCCAUUACAACUCACCUACCUCAUCAGUGUUUUGACAAUAGUGCCAUUUUUAAAGCUCCAGCAAGAAAUCUGUUUACAAAAUUUUUUUAAAAACAUCAAGUUUCAUUGCAAGAAAAUUCUAGUACUGAGUUUAUGUUGAUGUUUUGUGCUCUGCAUCACUGUAAGUGUUGUAUUUCUUUUUGUUGUGUGUUUUAGCACCUAUUAUUUUUCAUAUUUUAUUGAACAAAUUCACUCUUAGUGCAAUUUUUUUAAGUUCUCCUUUUAAAGUAAAUUGUUCUUUUGCUUGUUGUUUAAGUGCAGUUAAGAGUUAAAGUGUUCAUUCCUUGAUAUAUUUCUUUUCUUGUGUGUUAUAAUUUUAAUUAUUGCACACAGACUCAUUUUGCAAUAAUUCUUGUGCAAAUAUUGUGUUGCUAUUAAAGUUUUUCUUGCAGAAAAUUUUAUGCAGUGUUGUGCAAUACAGUUUAUUACAGUGCAGUUUCUUAUGUUCUGUUCUGUGCAUAGUAUUUUAUUCUGUCUGUGUCAUUUUAUUUUUUUUAUUUCAGUGAAUUGUGUGUUUGUUUUAAUUUUUGCACAAGUUUAUUGAGUCCAUUUUAUUAUUUUAUUGUGUAUUUUCCUUGUUGCAUUGAAAGUAAAGACAACUCACUGUGCCAUUUAUUCAAUUUAAAGUAAAAGUUGAGCAUAUUAGAUUUGAGCAAAGUACAAGUUCUCUUGAUUUUCAGUGUUUGCUAAGUUGCAUAUUCUUCUUGUGUGAGUUCUUUGCUUACUGUGUAACUUGUCAAUUUUUAAUUACUUAUGCAGAAUAGUUAAGCAUUUUUUUCCAUUUAAGCUUAUUGUGUCAUUCUCUCCAUUUUUCUUGACUUAUGCCCUUCAGUAUUUUCACUGAGAAGAUGUCCCAGUCACUUUUGAAUGUUCACUUAGUGUAUCAUUCCAGUCAAAGUCAAUAUGAAUCAGUCCACAGUACCAACAUUCCCUUACUGACUGAAAGACAAUACCUAGCCCUUGAGCAAUGUGUUUGUUCUCACAGCUUGUAUCUGAGAUUUGUUAAAGUGCUGCGAAAUGUGAAGUUCAGAUUAAGUUCCUAUAGAUCCGUGAAUUACUUAUUAACGUAGCCGAGCGGUCAGGCACUAGUAAUUCUGUCACUCCCAUCUGUGUUCCACCUAUACCUUCAGACUUGCAGGAUAGUGUUCCGUUGCCUCAAGUGUCCGGGGACACUCAGACUGCCUUGAGUGCACAGCCUAUCCCUGCAAUGACUGCUAGUUCGAGUAGUAGUUUCUCCACAGGGGAUGCCUUGUCAGAAAACGAUUACUUGCAACUAGUAAUGCCAUCUCUUUUGAUGUGACAUGCUGUCUGCAGAAAGACGUCUCUGUUACAGCAAGUGUUCUCACUAGAGUGUCUGUUGUUGUUCCUUGUGUUUCAGAUGGUGAUCCCAUCCUAGUUGACAGUAAUCAGUGCAUUGUAAGAAGUUAUUUCUCGAGUAACUUUCACAUGUUAACGUUUGUAAGUGUAGUUUCUUUAUAGCUGAUACCUCGUGUCACUGUGUGCGACUCAGAUUGAAUAUCAGCAUUGUUCACCGUGUUCAUUUCUUUUCUCCUGUGCUUGCAGUUGAGAUAGUAGAUUCGUUCUCCCUUGCUCAUAUUGCGUGUUAUAGCGUUAAUUUUUUCAACCGGGGGGAGUCAUCCACUCCACCGAGUUUGUUCUUUCCUCCAGUAAGGAAGAACUGAUACCUUUAUUCCAGAACAAACAGCCUACUGGAAGGUUAGCCAGAUGGACCUUGACUAUCCAAGAGUUCAAU